CUGUCAUAUGCCGAGGGAUGCAUGGCCGAGGGGGUGCUCGGUCGCUAAUAUGUGGUCUCUGGAUACCUGCCGUCCUCCAGUUUAAAUAGAGCUUCCCGGGGCACGGGUGACUAACCCCUUCCCGCCUACUCGUGGGACCAACAAUGCCAAAAUCGAAAAUAAAUACCAAAAACACCGCAAAGGAGCUCGGUACUCCUCUUAAAGUGCCGGAUGGAAAAUACUAUCCCUCUUCAACCGCAUCUGGGAAACCAGACCUGGAGCCCCGGGAGACUCCUAGCAUUGAGAUCAAGCCUGCGGUGUCGGACGUAGCAUCAGUGGUGUCGGAUGACAUCCUGGAUGGCUCUGUGUCUGACGUGAGGUCGGGGAGGAACUCGACUCCUCGGAAAGCGACCACGACAAACCAAUGGUGGAGCCAUUGCGCUGCUCUCUUGCUCCUCGGAAACAGAGUCUCCGGUCUGGGGACUCCUGACUAUAAGCUAUAGUACGUAGCUGACACCGCAGACUAAACAGUAGUGAGCCUCGAAGGCCAGGGGCGCUCACUGCGGAUCUGCUCCACGUACAUGGGUCACGACUAACCCAACCCCAGAUUGCGAUGACAAGGACACCGGCCUGAUCGUAGAGUGCGACGCCAACGAACUUCACUGCCAGUGGGGAAGCACUGACACAAACGAAAGGCCUUCAAAGAAAGAGCUCAACAUGUCUUCGACCAGCAAUAAAAACACCAGGUCGUCUAUGGAUGGAUACCAGUGUGCAUAUAUUGGGGCGAUACCUGUGUUGGAGCGGUUCGACUUCGCAAGGGACACACUAUUGCACAGAUAUGGCGCUUCGAAUGCAAAUCAGAGUUCAGACUCUCAAGGUCAGGACAAUAUUGUUGGGUUCUCAGGAGCAUUACGAACCAGCAGCCUGAUAACAAGUGGAAAAUUUCGGCGAACGUAGAGAUGGCAGGUCCAGCGUUCCAUCGACCUCAAUAGAUCGAUAUGUUGCUUGGCGCAGACUCAUUUUUCGAGUUGUUGUGCAACGGGCAGACUCAAUAAUGGAGAGAAAACUCUCCUGGGAUGGGUAGUUUCUGGACGAAGCAAGCAACAACAAUAAGAAGCUGCGUGUUAUCUCGCAGCUUCGUCAAAAGAAGACAUGGAGUUGGGAGGCCUUGUUAGAUACUGUUCCAGAAAAUAAAAACAUAGUAAAAUAUU